rnacentral:rRNA from 1 species
UGAAAAGAACUUUGAAGAGAGAGUUCAAGAGYACGUGAAANCGUUCAGGGGUMAACCUGUGAAACCCAAAAGAUCGAAUGAGGAGAUUCAUCGUCAGCGUAUUCAGUAUUAAUGCAGGCUAUGAUGUGAUAAUAGAAUCCUCGUGGUCACUAGAUUAUACUUGCUUGUAUUAUUUUUGCUGGGUAUGUCGGCGUGCACUUCUCCUCUAGUAGAACGUCGCGACCCGUUGGAUGUUUAUUUAUGGUCUGAUUGGUAGCCUUUGAUAUUUACUAUAUUGAAGACCUUUUGGUGUCCUGAUAAACUGUCUGACGGUAUACAUAUAGUAUUGAGCCGCAAUUAUUUGCGUUAGACUUGCCGCAAGUNAGGCUUUAUUCUGG